CACUGGUACUCGAGUGGCGAACGGGUGAGUAACACGUGGGUGAUCUGCCUUGCACUCUGGGAUAAGCUUGGGAAACUGGGUCUAAUACCGGAUAGGAACCGUCUUUAGUGUGGUGGUUGGAAAGUUUUUCGGUGUGGGAUGAGCUCGCGGCCUAUCAGCUUGUUGGUGGGGUAAUGGCCUACCAAGGCGUCGACGGGUAGCCGGCCUGGGAGGGUGUACGGCCACAUUGGGACUGAGAUGCGGCCCAG
rnacentral:rRNA from 1 species